rnacentral:lncRNA from 1 species
GGUCUCCCUCUGAUGCCGAGCCGAAGCUGGACUGUACUGCUGCCAUCUCGGCCCACUGCAACCUCCCUGCCUGAUUCUCCUGCCUCAGCCUGCUGAGUGCCUGCGAUUGCAGGCGCACGCAGCCACGCCUGACUGGUUUUCGUAUUUUUUUGGUGGAGACGGGGUUUCGCUGUGUUGGCCGGGCUGGUCUCCAGCUCCUAACCGCGAGUGAUCCACCAGCCUCGGCCUCCCGAGGUGCCGGGAUUGCAGACGGAGUCUGGUUCACUCAGUGCUCAAUGGUGCCCAGGCUGGAGUGCAGUGGCGUGAUCUCGGCUCGCUACAACCUCCGCCUGCCUUGGCCACCCAAAGUGCCGAGAUUGCAGUCUCUGCCCGGCCGCCACCCCGUCUAGGAAGUGAGGAGCGUCUCUGCCUGGCUGCCCAUCGUCUGGGACGUGAGGAGCCCCUCUGCCUGGCUGCCCAGUCUGGAAAGUGAGGAGCGUCUCUGCCCGGCCGCCAUCCCAUCUAGGAAGUGAGGAGCGCCUCUGCCUGGCCGCCCAUCGUCUGGGAUGUGAGGAGCGCCUCUACCCGGCCGCGACCCCGUCUGGGAGGUGAGGAGCGUCUCUGCCCGGCCGCCCCGUCUGAGAAGAGAGGAGACCCUCCGCCUGGCAACCGCCCCGUCUGAGAAGUGAGGAGCCCCUCCGCCCGGCAGCCGCCCCAUCUGAGAAGUGAGGAGCCCCUCCGCCCGGCAGCCACCCCGUCUGGGAAGUGAGGAGCGUCUCCGCCCGGCAGCCACCCCGUCCAGGAGGGGGGGGUCAGCCCCCUGCCCGGCCAGCCGCCCCGUCCGGGAGGUGAGGGGCACCUCUGCCCGGCCACCCCUACUGGGAAGUGAGGAGCCCCUCUGCCCGGCCAGCCGCCCCGUCCGGGAGGGAGGUGGGGGUGUCAGCCCCCCGCCCGGCCAGCCGCCCCAUCCGGGAGGGAGGUGGGGGGGGUCAGCCCCCCGCCCGGCCAGCCGCCCCGUCCGGGAGGUGAGGGGCGCCUCUGCCCGGCCUCCCCUACUGGGAAGUGAGGAGCCCCUCUGCCCGGCCACCACCCCGUCUGGGAGGUGUACCCAACAGCUCAUUGAGAACGGGCCAUGAUGACAAUGGCGGUUUUGUGGAAUAGAAAGCGGGGAAAGGUGGGGAAAAGAUUGAGAAAUCGGAUGGUUGCCGUGUCUGUGUAGAAAGAGGUAGACAUGGGAGACUUUUCAUUUUGCUCUGUACUAAGAAAAAUUCUUAUCCUGUUGAUCUGUGACCUUACCCCCAACCCUGUGCUCUCUGAAACAUGUGCUGUGUCCACUCAGGGUUAAAUGGAUUAAGGGCGGUGCAAGAUGUGCUUUGUUAAACAGAUGCUUGAAGGCAGCAUGCUCCUUAAGAGUCAUCACCACUCCCUAAUCUCAAGUACCCAG